rnacentral:rRNA from 2 species
CCCCUGUGAACAUACCUUAAUGUUGCCUCGGCGGAUCAGCCCGCGCCCCGUAAAACGGGACGGCCCGCCAGAGGACCCAAACUCUAAUGUUUCUUAUUGUAACUUCUGAGUAAAACAAACAAAUAAAUCAAAACUUUCAACAACGGAUCUCUUGGUUCUGGCAUCGAUGAAGAACGCAGCAAAAUGCGAUAAGUAAUGUGAAUUGCAAAAUUCAGUGAAUCAUCGAAUCUUUGAACGCACAUUGCGCCCGCUGGUAUUCCGGCGGGCAUGCCUGUUCGAGCGUCAUUUCAACCCUCAAGCCCCCGGGUUUGGUGUUGGGGAUCGGCUCUGCCCUUCUGGGCGGUGCCGCCCCCGAAAUACAUUGGCGGUCUCGCUGCAGCCUCCAUUGCGUAGUAGCUAACACCUCGCAACUGGAACGCGGCGCGGCCAUGCCGUAAAACCCCAACUUCUGAAUGUUGACCUCGGAUCAGGUAGGAAUACCCGCUGAACUUAA